GGUUGUGUAGUGUAGUGGUUAUCACUUUGGAUUUUGAUUUGAGCGGCUUAAUUCACCGUUCUCAUAACUAUUCCAAUAACCCCGGUUCGAACCCGGGCACGACCU